rnacentral:lncRNA from 1 species
UUACUAUACGUUCCAUCACUAUAAUCUGUUUUUUAUUUAAAUCAAUUGUCAUUGCCAAAUUUUUAUAAAAAAACGGUCUGUACCACCCUAGAUACCAUGUUCUAUGACCACGCUUUAUAAUAUUUUCCACUAAAUAAUAAGUAAGGUUGUGUAUAUUCUAAACGAAGUUGUCACUGAUUGUCACUUUAAAGACGAAGCCACUAAUCUCUCGUCACUUGGCUAAUAUCUACGUUUUGAAAUUAAAACUCGUGAGCAAUAUAUUAAGAUAACAUAAUUAAGUGCUAUAAUUAAAAUUUGAAUAUUGUUUAAAAAUCAGAAUUACUGGAAGAAUCUGAGUCUUCCGCUAGUUGGAUGAUGACAGGAGGUAAAUCAGUUAUUAAUGAAUUUCCCAUUAAUGUUGUCCAAUCUUUUUUAAUUAGUUCUUCACAGUGGCGAACACUAUUUGCCCACAUCUCCGGAGUGUAAUGACCAAGAGCUUUUUGCCAAGUCUCCUUGACACGACAGAUCUUUUUCUCCGAGCUGGACUGAACAUGUUUAUUGUAAUAAGUUUUUAAGAACGCCCAACAUAGUUCAAUGGGAUUAUAUUGGCAAUUGUAUGGAGGAAGGCGAAGAACAGUAUGGCCAUGGUCUCUUAUUAAUUUGUCAAUUUCAAAGGAUUUUUCAAUUUGAGGCUUGUAAUAACGGAUUAUUUCCCAUAACGAUUUUUUAUUUAAGAAACUUGGAGCUUUCUCGAUUUGUUUUGAGUGAUAUGGAGCAUUAUCCAUUACUACCGCACACUUCGCACCCAAAUUAUUUAAUGCUGGAAGUAAUUGAUUUUUCACCCAUUCCAUAAAAAUAAUUGACGUCAUAUUUUUAUGAUAAUCUCUGUGCUCCGUGUUGUCACUGAGCAAGAGAUCGCAAUUUGGCAAAAACCCUGACGAAGUGCCUGCGUGCAAGAUUGUAAAUCUUUUUCCUUCGCCUUCUGCUCUUUGCGGAAUACCGAAUCUUUCAUUUUCAUUUACCCAUUGAUAAACUUGGGUGCCAUUUUCGUAAA